rnacentral:rRNA from 1 species
CCUACGGGAGGCAGCAGUGGGGAAUAUUGGACAAUGGGCGCAAGCCUGAUCCAGCCAUGCCGCGUGAGUGAUGAAGGCCUUAGGGUUGUAAAGCUCUUUCAGUGGGGGCGGUACCCACAGAAGAAGCCCCGGCUAACUUCGUGCCAGCAGCCGCGGUAAUACGAAGGGGGCUAGCGUUGUUCGGAUUUACUGGGCGUAAAGCGCACGUAGGCGGAUUGGUAAGUUAGGGGUGAAAUCCUGGAGCUCAACUCCAGAACUGCCUUUAAUACUGCCAGUCUAGAGUCCGGAAGAGGUGAGUGGAACUCCUAGUGUAGAGGUGGAAUUCGUAGAUAUUAGGAAGAACACCAGUGGCGAAGGCGGCUCACUGGUCCGGACUGACGCUGAGGUGCGAAAGCGUGGGGAGCAAACAGGAUUAGAUACCCUAGUAGUC